GACACAUAUUUAGUAGCACCUGAGCCUGCACCUUGAGUCCUCCUUUCCUCCCUCUCUCUCACCUCCUGGUGAGGGACACCCCACCAUAACAGCUGAGGAGGAACUGCAGAGUUGGGUGAUACAAAGAAAGAAGAUUGUGGGAAAGAAAAACACAAAGAAACUGCACUAAAUGGGUGAAAUCAUGGAUACUACAGUGACAAACUGAAGGGCCUUUCCCAAACCGUUCUCUUCUCAUGCACUGAUAUACUUAGCUCAAAAGAAAAUCAGAGUGGUCUGUCUCACCAGUGCCGGUGUCUGCCGGUGAUUCAACAUGCCAAAUUGAUUGAAAAGCCACCAGCGGGGUCCGACUAGUGCCAAUGGUGCAGGACACUAUGAAGAUGACGGCGACAGAUGCUCGCCAAUGGUCGGCAAUGGCCUACUAUCAGCUUGGUGAGUCACGGGCCCAAGGACUGCACUUUGUCUCCUAGGUUGUACUAGAUUGCUGAGAUUAGUUAUGUCACAUUCUUAAUGUAGCCGGGUAGUACACAUAUACUAAGAGGAGAUAAAUAAAUAACUAAAUUGUUUUCCACUGAUGAUGAAAGGUCCCCUAAAGGUUUUCAACAUUCAAAUUGUCAUUCAUUGUUUAUGGUUUUCCUGUAACACCAUUCAAUUGUGGUGAUAUGUAAAAGUAACCAAAGCUUGAACAAAUGCAUUGUGGUCCCUUCCUUCUUUAUGUUGGACUGAGCUUGAGUGGAGCGCCGUGAUUUUUUUAACCUAAGUAAGUAAAUAUGCUGAAAUCUUGUUGGA